AUGAGAUCACAGGGAUCGGGAUGGAGCUUGACAAGAGCGAUACAGGAAACCAUACAAUCGAAGGCUAGCAAGAAGAAGCAAAAAGAUAGUAAAAGCUCAAGGGAUUCAUCACGAAGGCAAGUGCUCCAGCGGAAGCUAUCAAUUAAAAGGUCGGACCGGGUAGUGGUAGUUAAUCGGGGGAGGGAGCGGCUCAUUCCAGCUCCGUCUCCGCCUCAGCCUUCUCCGCUCCCUGUUGGGUAUCUCCGAGGACUUGAGCUAAGGGAUUGUUUACUGAAUGUCCCAUACUUGACCUAUCUCUCCAUUUGGUGA